rnacentral:rRNA from 1 species
GCAAUGCCGCGUGUGUGAAGAAGGCCUUCGGGUUGUAAAGCACUUUUGUCAGGAACGAAACGGUGGGGGCUAAUAUCCUCUGCUAAUGACGGUACCUGAAGAAUAAGCACCGGCUAACUACGUGCCAGCAGCCGCGGUAAUACGUAGGGUGCGAGCGUUAAUCGGAAUUACUGGGCGUAAAGCGUGCGCAGGCGGUUGUGCAAGACAGAUGUGAAAUCCCCGGGCUUAACCUGGGAAUUGCAUUUGUGACUGCACGGCUAGAGUGUGUCAGAGGGGGGUAGAAUUCCACGUGUAGCAGUGAAAUGCGUAGAUAUGUGGAGGAAUACCGAUGGCGAAGGCAGCCCCCUGGGAUAACACUGACGCUCAUGCACGAAAGCGUGGGGAGCAAACAGGAUUAGAUACCCUGGUAGUCCACGCCCUAAACGAUGUCUACUAGUUGUCGGGUCUUAAUUGACUUGGUAACGCAGCUAACGCGUGAAGUAGACCGACUGGGGAGUACGGUCGCAAGAUUAAAACUCA